rnacentral:tRNA from 1 species
UUUAAAGUAAGCUAACAAUAAGCUAGUGGGUUCAUACCCCAAAAAUGAUUUAUUCCUUUAAUA